UACUAAAACUUUCUCUUUGAGAAAGGAGACAAGACGUGGAGUAGAAGGACUUGAGCUCACCUCCUUUCACGAAAACACCAGAAUCACAACUAACAGGUGAACGGUUUGGCAAAAAAAGCCUGGAACCUACCAAAAGAAGAUAUUCUACAUCCAAAGACAAAGAAACCACAAUAAGAUGGAGACAACUGUGGGAACUAUCACAGAGCUUCUUAGAAGACCUGGUGGAAUCAAGCUGCUAUUGUCUACACAGCAAGGACUUCAAUAACACAACUUUAUGUUGACCCUUCCCCUUACUUCGUUUUAAUAUCACAAAUCCCUCACUCCAAUUCUUGGGGGUCUGGGAGGUGCAUCAGGUCAUUUAUUAGUUUAAUCUUUCUAAAAAAUUUUCUCUGGGAGCUUCUGAUAUGCUUCACCACAUUCUGUAUGCUUGGUGUUAUGUCAUCCUUGGAUAUCUCAUCACCGUCAUCCGGGGAAUUUCUUCAUCUCUCUCCUAUGCUGAAUCUUAGUCUUUGCACUUUCGUCUUCAUUUUGCUUGGUUUAUGCCCUUAUUUUUACGAAGCACAUUCUCUAGUAGUUUAUUGAGAAAGACCAUAUGGAGGUAAAGUUUGUGAGACCGUGUACAAAUAAAAAUGUCUUCAUUUUACCCUUAGAUUUGAUUAG